rnacentral:lncRNA from 1 species
CUCAACCGGAAGAGGAUUAAAGUAAACUCAUAAACCAAAGAACAAUAAAACAAGAACUUACUAGAAUUAGAAGUCGAAUUACUGAAGAAUCUUAGGAGCAAGCUGUUGACGGUCCUUAAGUAUCAAAUUUAAUUAUCAAAUAAAUAAAGAAAAGGAUCCAAAUGAAAUCAACAUCUAGACUUAGGGUUUUAUCUGACAGAAUUCCACGAGUUUUGGUGUUUGUCUAUUUCUGCAGGGGGUUAUUAGGAAAUACGGAAGAAAGGCCC